rnacentral:misc_RNA from 1 species
AUUGUUUUCAUACGUCUCAUU